rnacentral:rRNA from 1 species
GAUGAACGCUGGCGGCAUGCCUAAUACAUGCAAGUCGAACGGAGUUGCAGCAAUGCAACUUAGUGGCGAACGGGUGAGUAAUACGUAGAUAACUUACCCUCAAGACUGGGAUAACGGUUGGAAACGACCGCUAAAACCGGAUAGGACACAAGACCACAAGGAUUUAUGUUUAAAGGUGCUCCAAAGCACUGCUUGAGGAAAGGUUUACGGCGCAUUAGCUAGUUGGUGAGGUAAGGGCUCACCAAGGCGACGAUGCGUAGCUGUGCUGAGAGGCAAAACAGCCACACUGGGACUGAGACACGGCCCAGACUCCUACGGGAGGCAGCAGUAGGGAAUUUUCGGCAAUGGGGGGAACCCUGACCGAGCGAUGCCGCGUGAAUGAUGACGAUCUUCGGAUUGUAAAGUUCUGUUAUUGGGGAAGAACGGCCGGACCAGGAAAUGGAUCCGGCGUGACGGUACCUAACGAGAAAGCCCCGGCUAACUAUGUGCCAGCAGCCGCGGUAAUACAUAGGGGGCGAGCGUUAUCCGGAAUUAUUGGGCGUAAAGCGUGCGUAGGCGGUUUGUUAAGUUCGAUGUAAAAACCCACAGCUUAACUGUGGAAGGUCAUAGAAAACUGGCAAGCUAGAGUACGGUAGAGGUAGGUGGAAUUCCAAGUGGAGCGGUGGAAUGCGUAGAUAUUUGGAGGAACACCAGUGGCGAAGGCGGCCUACUGGGCCGGAACUGACGCUGAGGCACGAAAGCGUGGGGAGCAAACAGGAUUAGAUACCCUGGUAGUCCACGCCGUAAACGAUGAGCACUAAGUGUCGGGCGAAUGCUCGGCGCUGUAGUUAACACAAUAAGUGCUCCGCCUGGGGAGUACGGUCGCAAGACUGAAACUCAAAGGAAUUGACGGGGGCCCGCACAAGCAGUGGAGUAUGUGGUUUAAUUCGACGCAACGCGAAGAACCUUACCAGGGCUUGACAUCCUCUGACGGCUGUAGAGAUACAGCUUCUCUUCGGAGCAGAGAGACAGGUGGUGCAUGGUUGUCGUCAGCUCGUGUCGUGAGAUGUUGGGUUAAGUCCCGCAACGAGCGCAACCCUUAUUGUCAGUUGCCAUCAUUCAGUUGGGCACUCUGGCGAGACUGCCGUGGAUAACACGGAGGAAGGUGGGGACGACGUCAAAUCAUCAUGCCCCUUAUGUCCUGGGCUACACACGUACUACAAUGGCAACAACAGAAAGCAGCAAAACCGCGAGGUCAAGCGAAUCUCCAAAUGUUGUCUCAGUUCGGAUUGCAGGCUGCAACUCGCCUGCAUGAAGUCGGAAUUGCUAGUAAUGGCAGGUCAGCAUACUGCCGUGAAUACGUUCCCGGGCCUUGUACACACCGCCCGUCACACCAUGAGAGUCUGUAACACCCGAAGUCGAUAGUCUAACCGCAAGGGGGGCGUCGCCGAAGGUGGGACCGAUGAUUGGGGUG